rnacentral:rRNA from 1 species
UACAGAGGGGGCAAGCGUUGUUCGGAAUUACUGGGCGUAAAGGGCGCGUAGGCGGCCUGUUAAGUCGAACGUGAAAUCCCCGGGCUCAACCCGGGAACUGCGUCCGAUACUGACAGGCUUGAAUCCGGGAGAGGGAUGCGGAAUUCCAGGUGUAGCGGUGAAAUGCGUAGAUAUCUGGAGGAACACCGGUGGCGAAGGCGGCAUCCUGGACCGGCAUUGACGCUGAGGCGCGAAAGCCAGGGGGAGCAAAACGGG